GGGCAUGCUUUCCACAGGCUUUCUUGAACUGUGAACUCGUGGGUGGUUGGUUAUAUAUGUUGGGAUUCCGGCCUCCAAUUCUCUGAAAAAAAGAGCUGAAUUGUAGAGUUCAUGGUGUUCUGUCUUUUGGUCAUCUCUACCUGUUGAUGGUUCAAGAAAGCCCAUGGAAACCAUGCCGC
rnacentral:pre_miRNA from 1 species